rfam:Hordeum vulgare subsp. vulgare, WGS project CAJW01000000 data, contig: morex_contig_239807
CAACUACUCCCUUCGUCCGGAAAUACUUGUCAUGAAAAUGGAUGUAUCUAGAUGUAUNNNNNNUCUAGAUACAUCCAUUUUUAUACAUCACGCGACAAGUAAUUCCGGACGGAGGGAGUAUAAA